rnacentral:rRNA from 1 species
CUACGUGCCAGCAGCCGCGGUAAUACGUAGGUGGCAAGCGUUGUCCGGAAUUAUUGGGCGUAAAGGGCGCGCAGGCGGCUUCUUAAGUCUGUCUUAAAAGUUCGGGGCUUAACCCCGUGAUGGGAUGGAAACUGCCAAUCUAGAGUAUCGGAGAGGAAAGUGGAAUUCCUAGUGUAGCGGUGAAAUGCGUAGAUAUUAGGAAGAACACCAGUGGCGAAGGCGACUUUCUGGACGAAAACUGACGCUGAGGCGCGAAAGCCAGGGGAGCGAACGGGAUUAGAUACCCCGGUAGUCCUGGCCGUAAACGAUGGGUACUAGGUGUAGGAGGUAUCGACCCCUUCUGUGCCGGAGUUAACGCAAUAAGUACCCCGCCUGGGGAGUACGACCGCAAGGUUGAAACUCAAAGGAAUUGACGGGGGCCCGCACAAGCGGUGGAGUAUGUGGUUUAAUUCGACGCAACGCGAAGAACCUUACCAGGUCUUGACAU